rnacentral:pre_miRNA from 1 species
AAUAAACCAAUCUUUUACUUUUUAGUUACAAUGUUUGACGCUUCAUUUUAUUCAAAAAAUUUUACGAUUAAUAUUUUUAUUUUUAUUAGAUGAUAAAUCAUAAAUAGUACUUUAUGUAUGACUAAUUGUUUAAUUUCUUGAAAAAAUUUUAAAUAAGACGAAUGGUCAAACGUUGGAGACAGAUGAUCAAAAGUUUGCUUUAU